rnacentral:rRNA from 1 species
CCUACGGGAGGCAGCAGUAAGGAAUAUUGCGCAAUGGGCGAAAGCCUGACGCAGCGACGCCGCGUGGGGGAUGAAGGUCUUCGGAUUGUAAACCCCUUUCGGGAGGGAAGCGGUACCUCCAGAAGCAGCCACGGCUAACUUCGUGCCAGCAGCCGCGGUAAUACGAAGGUGGCAAGCGUUGUUCGGAUUUACUGGGCGUACAGGGAGCGUAGGCGGUUCGGUAAGCCCUUUGUGAAAUCUCCAGGCUUAACCUGGAACAGUCGGAGGGGACUGCCGGGCUAGAGGACGGGAGAGGAGCGCGGAAUUCCCGGUGUAGCGGUGAAAUGCGUAGAGAUCGGGAGGAAGGCCGGUGGCGAAGGCGGCGCUCUGGAAGUUCUGACGCUGAGGCUCGAAAGCGUGGGGAGCAAACAGGAUUAGAUACCCUUGUAGUC